GACGAACGCUGGCGGCGUGCUUAACACAUGCAAGUCGAACGGAAAGGCCCUGCUUUUGUGGGGUUCUCUGGUGGCGAACGGGUGGGUAGCACGUACGUACCCUACCUUUCCCUUUGGGAUAACUUCCGGAAACUGGGGCUAAUUCCGGCUAGGAGCUCCUCCUGCAUGGUGGGGGUUGGAUAUUUUCGGCGGUUGGGGAUGGACUCGCGGUUUAUCUGCUUGUUGUUGGGGUAGUGGCUUACCAAGGCUUUGCCGGGUAGCCGGCCUGAGAGGGUGACCGGCAAAAGUGGGACUGAGAUACGGCCCAGAGUCCUAAGGGAGGCAGCAGUGGGGAAGAUUGCACAAUGGGGGGAAGCCGGAUGCAGCAACGCCGCGUGCGGGAUGACGGCCUUCGGGUUGUAAACCGCUUUCGCCUGUGACGAAGCGUGAGUGACGGUAAUGGGUAAAGAAGCACCGGCUAACUACGUG
rnacentral:rRNA from 1 species